CGGGAUUGGCUAUUGGUACCUUCCUGUUGUCUUCUCUGCUUUUGACUUUGCUCUUCAGGAUGAAUUGGGCCACGGCAGCACAAGAGGCUCAAGAGAGAACGGGACUGAGGAAGGGAACCGGACCUAGCAUGAUUGCCUCUGGCUUUGAUCUUGUAGAAGAUGGUGCCUCAACGUUGUCACAGGGUCAGGAAGAACCCUAUCAGCUUGAACACACUG